rnacentral:rRNA from 1 species
AUUGAACGCUGGCGGCAGGCCUAACACAUGCAAGUCGAACGAGUGGCGGACGGGUGAGUAAUGUCUGGGAAACUGCCCGAUGGAGGGGGAUAACUACUGGAAACGGUAGCUAAUACCGCAUACCAUCGGAUGUGCCCAGAUGGGAUUAGCUCGUAGGUGGGGUAACGGCUCACCUAGGCGACGAUCCCUAGCUGGUCCGAGAGGAUGACCAGCCACACUUGAACUGAGAACGGGUCCUGACGCCUACGAGAGGCAGCAGUGGGGAAUAUUGCACAAUUGGCGCAAGCCUGAUGCAGCCAUGCCGAGUGUAUGAAGAAGGCCUUCGGGUUGUAAAGUACUUUCAGCGAGGGGGCGUUACUCGCAGAAGAAGCACCGGCUAACUCCGUGCCAGCAGCCGCGGUAAUAC